rnacentral:rRNA from 1 species
CUACCGGGGUAUCUAAUCCUGUUUGCUCCCCACGCUUUCGCGCCUCAGCGUCAGAACCGGACCAGACAGCCGCCUUCGCCACUGGUGUUCUUGCGAAUAUCUACGAAUUUCACCUCUACACUCGCAGUUCCGCUGUCCUCUUCCGGUCUCAAGCCAACCAGUAUCGAAGGCAAUUCUGUGGUUGAGCCACAGGCUUUCACCCCCGACUUAAUCGGCCGCCUACGCGCCCUUUACGCCCAGUGAUUCCGAGCAACGCUAGCCCCCUUCGUAUUACCGCGGCUGCUGGCAC